rnacentral:rRNA from 1 species
GUCCCGCAACGAGCGCAACCCUCGUGAUCAGUUGCUAACAGUUUGGCUGAGCACUCUAAUCAGACUGCCUUCGCAAGGAGGAGGAAGGUGAGGACGACGUCAAGUCAUCAUGGCCCUUAUGGCCAGGGCUACACACGUGCUACAAUGGCUAGGACAAAGAGACGCGAUACUGCGAAGUGGAGCAAAUCUUAAAACCUAGUCUCAGUUCGGAUUGGAGUCUGCAACUCGACUCCAUGAAGCUGGAAUCGCUAGUAAUCGUAGAUCAGAUAUGCUACGGUGAAUACGUUCCCGGGUCUUGUACUCACCGCCCGUCACACCAUGGGAGUUGAAUUCACCCGAAGCCGGAAUACUAAACUAGUUACCGACCACGGUGGGUUCAGCGACUGGGGUGAAGUCGUAACAAGGUAACC